UGCCUUUGUGUUGCCCAUUCAUUACUUUUCCAGUGAAUGUGGUGUCAGAAAAGGCAUAUAACAACUCUGGCUGUCCUGUGCAAGAGCUGGUUAUGUACCUUUCUCAGCACUUCGGCUAGAACAUGC